rnacentral:lncRNA from 1 species
CCUUCUUGGAUAAACUUUUUUUUUCAAGAAAAUGAUAUGCUUACCAACAAAUACCUUUUGUUGAGUAGGGCUAUAGAAGUAGUAUCCUAUACUCUUCUUGGAAUAGCCUACAAACCUGUAUUUUUCUGAUCUAGCAUCCAGCUUAUGUCCAUCAAUAUUUUUCAUAGAAGCUGGACAACUCCAAAUCUUAAAAUGCUUAAGAUUGAGUCUUUUUUCUUUUCAUAUUUUAUAUGGAGUGCUAGAAACAGAUUUAGAAGGUACUUAUUUAAGAUAUACGCUGCGACCUCGAAAGCAUAUCCCUAGAAGGAUAGCGAA